rnacentral:rRNA from 1 species
CUACGGGUGGCUGCAGUGGGGAAUAUUGCACAAUGGAGGAAACUCUGAUGCAGCAACGCCGCGUGGAGGAUGACACUCUUCGGAGCGUAAACUCCUUUUAUAUAGGAAGAAGAUGACGGUACUAUAUGAAUAAGCGCCGGCUAACUCCGCGCCAGCAGCCGCGGUAAUACGGAGGGCGCAAGCGUUACUCGGAAUCACUGGGCGUAAAGAGCGUGUAGGCGGAUUAAAAAGUCAGAAGUGAAAUCGUAUAGCUUAACUAUAGAACUGCUUCUGAAACUCUUAAUCUAGAAUAUGGGAGAGGUAGAUGGAAUUUCUGGUGUAGGGGUAAAAUCCGUAGAGAUCAGAAGGAAUACCGAUUGCGAAGGCGAUCUACUAGAACAUUAUUGACGCUGAGACGCGAAAGCGUGGGGAGCAAACAGGAUUAGAUACCCUUGUAGUC